rnacentral:rRNA from 1 species
AUGUCGAAGUCGUGCAAGGGGCUAGCCAUGGAGCUCGUCAAGUGCCUCAGCGAGACCGACUGCGUCAAGGUUCAGAAGAGGCCGUACAAGGAGUGCGCGGGGGAGAAGGCGCCCAACAUCACCAGCGAGUGCGUCGGCCUGCGGGAGACCUACUUCAACUGCAAAAGGGGCCAGGCAUGUCUCGAAUUGCUCGCUGUGAAUCAGCCACACCAGUUGUGA